rnacentral:rRNA from 1 species
CCUACGGGAGUCUGCAGUGAGGAAUCUUGGUCAAUGGACGAGAGUCUGAACCAGCCAAGUAGCGUGAAGGAUGACUGCCCUAUGGGUUGUAACCUUCUUUUAUAUGGGAAUAAAAUGUUCCACGUGUGGGAUUUUGUAUGUACCAUAUGAAUAAGGCUCGGCUAACUCCGUUCCAGCAGCCGCGGUAAUACGGAGGAUCCGAGCGUUAUCCGGAUUUAUUGGGUUUAAAGGGAGCGUAUGUGGAUUGUUAAGUCAGUUGUGAAAGUUUGCGGCUCAACCGUAAAAUUGCAGUUGAACCUGGUAGUCUUGAGUACAGUAGAGGUGGGCGGAAUGCGUGGUGUAGCGGUGAAAUGCUUAGAUAUCACGAAGAACUCAGAUUGCGAAGGGAGUUCACUGGACUGCAACUGACACUGAGGCUCGAAAGUGUGGGUAUCAAACAGGAUUAGAUACCCGUGUAGUC